rnacentral:rRNA from 1 species
UACGGGGGGGGCAAGCGUUGUUCGGAAUUACUGGGCGUAAAGGGCGCGUAGGCGGUUUGCUAAGUUGAAUGUGAAAACUCUGGGCUUAACCCAGAGCCUGCAUUCAAUACUGGCAGGCUGGAGUUCUGGAGGGGAUAGCGGAAUUCCUGGUGUAGCGGUGAAAUGCGCAGAUAUCAGGAGGAACACCGGUGGCGAAGGCGGGUCUCUGGGCAACAACUGACGCUGAGGAGCGAAAGCGUGGGGAGCGAACAGG